UCGGGGAAAGAUGCCUUGGUAGGUUUUCGAAUAAUGAUUGAUUUGAGUUAAUGAACUCAAGUGAACAUGUUUCCAUAUAAUGCAAUAAUCCCCUAAUUGCAUAAGUCUUUAUCCUAUUUGAAGACUUGAGUUAGGAGAUCGAUUAGGAACCCUGUAGAUUCGAGUGAACCCAUAAGAUAUGAGAACUCACUGAGAUUAUUAUCUCACCCCAAAUAUUGUUGUUAUUUUUUUAGGUGUUAUUU
rnacentral:lncRNA from 1 species